CCCUGUGGGAAGCAGGAGGGACCACCCUCCAAGGCUAAAUACUACCUAGUGACCGAUAGCGUAUAGUACCGUGAGGGAAAGGUGAAAAGAACCCCGGGAGGGGAGUGAAAUAGAACCUGAAACCCUGCACUUACAAGCUGUGGAAGCACAUUUCUUGUGUGACCGCGUACUUUUUGUAGAACGGGCCAACGAGUUACGUUAAGUAGCAAGGUUAAGCACUUAAGGUGCGGAGCCGUAGCGAAAGCGAGUUUUAACUGAGCGUUCAGUUACUUGACGUAGACCCGAAACCGGGCGACCUACCCAUGAGCAGGAUGAAGCGAAAGUAAAAUUUCGUGGAGGUCCGAACCCACGAGCG
rnacentral:rRNA from 1 species